rnacentral:rRNA from 1 species
UACGUAGGCAGCAAGCGUUGUUCGGAGUUACUGGGCGUAAAGAGUGCGUAGGCGGUGCCCCAAGUCUGUUGUGAAAUCUCCCGGCUUAACUGGGAGGGUGCGGUGGGAACUGGGGUGCUUGAGUGUGGGAGAGGUAAGCGGAAUUCCUGGUGUAGCGGUGAAAUGCGUAGAUAUCAGGAGGAACACCGGUGGUGUAGACGGCUUACUGGACCACGACUGACGCUGAGGCACGAAAGCGUGGGUAGCAAACAGG